CCUACGGGGGGCAGCAGUGGGGAAUAUUGGACAAUGGGGGGAACCCUGAUCCAGCCAUGCCGCGUGUGUGAAGAAGGCCCUCGGGUUGUAAAGCACUUUCAGUGAGGAAGAACGCCUGGUGGUUAAUACCCAUCAGGAAAGACAUCACUCACAGAAGAAGCACCGGCUAACUCCGUGCCAGCAGCCGCGGUAAUACGGAGGGUGCGAGCGUUAAUCGGAAUUACUGGGCGUAAAGCGCGCGUAGGUGGCUUGAUAAGCCGGUUGUGAAAGCCCCGGGCUCAACCUGGGAACGGCAUCCGGAACUGUCAAGCUAGAGUGCAGGAGAGGAAGGUAGAAUUCCCGGAGUAGCGGUGAAAUGCGUAGAGAUCGGGAGGAAUACCAGUGGCGAAGGCGGCCUUCUGGACUGACACUGACACUGAGGUGCGAAAGCGUGGGUAGCAAACAGGAUUAGAUACCCCGGUAGUC
rnacentral:rRNA from 1 species